GUAUUCCAGCCAGGCUGCUCCUCUUAGAUGCAGAGGACUUAGACAUCAGGAAGACUUAGGCACUGGAGGCAGUACUUCAGGAAAGUGCACUCUUUGAUCAGUGGUCUUUCCUCAGCCCUGCUCUGAAACCUAACCAGGCGAAACACUUUAGGAUAAAGAGGGAGUGAUAUAGUUGCUUACUAAUUUCACAAUCAUAGUCUCUACUUAUCCUGGUCUUGGAGUUGGGCAGUUGUAUAAUUUUGUUUCUAGUCCUGAUUGGGUGGGGAGGAUGGCAUUGCGGGAAAAUAUCCCAAGGUCUGCGUUGGAUAAUAGGCAAUGAGAUCUUUUGUUUUAACCAUUUUUGAGCAGAUACAAGUAAACAUGAGCGUGUGAGACUUAAGGCUGAGCUCUCUUUGUCUCUUCUUAGCUGCCAGCUGCUGUGGGAGAGGGGAAAUCAAACAAUGGCCAUGCAUUUUGUGUGGGGCUUGAUACUUGCCAUGCUGCUCUGGCUGAAGAGUUCACAUCUCCAUCUUGUUCUUUAUAACAGAGGGCGAUGAGACAGGUGUGAUGGACAGUCUUCUAGAAGCCCUGCAGUCAGGGGCAGCAUUCCGACGGAAGAGAGGGCCCCGUCAAGCCAACAGGAAGGCCGGGUGUGCAGUCACAUCUCUGCUGGCUUCGGAGCUGACCAAGGAUGAUGCCAUGGCCGCUGUUCCUGCCAAGGUGUCCAAGAACAGUGAGACAUUCCCCACAAUCCUUGAGGAAGCCAAGGAGUUGGUUGGCCGUGCAAGCUAAUGUGGGUCCUGUGACCGCGGCAGCUCCUCAGCAGAGCUGCAGACUGUCUUGCCCUGCAGCAUGUGCCUAAAGGCUUCCUCUGGGGUGGCCGCUCCCACCACCCUGACCCUGUCCUCCUCUCUGGCCUGCUGCUCUCUCAACGUCACAUACAGCUUCAGUUGCCUGGAGGCCAGAAGGAAAGGGCAGUGUGGGGGAGGCCUGAGCCCAAGCUAGCCAGCCCUGGCUGUUGUAUUACCAAAGCAGGGUCCAUGUUUGCUGCCUUAACCCUGUCUCCUCUCUGUUACUCAGAGGGCCUCAUCUCAGACAAGGCCCAGCCUGCUUUUUCUCAGCCCUGACUUUCUAAUGGGCUUUCCCCCCAGGUCAAUCUUGCUGGAUUUGUGCUUUUCUUUUGUGGUUUCUCUGGCCCUGAGAACAGCAUGGGGCUUGUAAACCUUUGGGCUAGAUCCCUCCUUUCAUUGCUGUUGUCUCUGCUCUUCCCUCUCCUGGCUGUGGUUAUUUAUUAUUAGUGGUGUGGCACUGGGAGCUGCUCCUAAGGAAGCAGGGAGCAAAUCCCACCUUUACCCCACCUUCCUGGGAAAGGCCUCCAAAGCAAAGGAUCUGGACCACUUUCCCUGCUGUGCUGUGGCCCAGGCCGGAGCCUGUGGGCAGGCAAGCAGGGCAUAGCGACAGCGUGGGACCUGCCCCCAGCUUCUGCCACGCUUUAUGCCCUUGCCUCUCUGGACGCUCUGCACCAACCCCAGGCUACUGAGCCACCUUCCCUCCUCAUGCCUUCCCUAAGCUUUGGUGUAUCUCAUCUGGACUAUGGGUUGUAUUGUGACCAUCCCAACACCUCACCCUCUGUCUACAAGGAAAUGGGAGGUGGAGCCUCCUGGCUGAGAAAUUGUUUUGCAAAUGGAUCUAUUUUUGUAUGAAAAAAAAAAUUUUUUUAAAGAAAACUGCUCCUUCCCCCUUUCCCCUCCAUAAUGUAAGAAGCUUUGGUGGCAGGUUACAGAGUUCCUGGGAUUUCUCCUCACAGGCCCAAUCCUGAAUGUGCCCCUGGCCCUUCUGGACCCUUGAGUCCAAGGCAGAUCCUCUCUCCCAGGGAAUCCGACACAGGAGGAACCCCUUCUCUGGUUGAGCUGGGCCAGGCCUAAGAGUAGCGGGAACUCUAAGACCACAGAGUUUUUUAUAAAUGUAUAAAUGUAUCAAGCCAAAUGUGCAGAUGCUAACUGGACAUUCUGGGGAACUGGGCACCAGGAGUGCCUUCAUACACUGUACCCCAGCUCUCUUCUAAAAGAGAAGUGGGUGGGCACACUGAACUGUUUGGUAGCCCCAACCACAGGAAGCUCCAACUGUCUGGCUUAGGGUGACACUUUUGCCCUCCUUGUGCCCCUCUCAGCUUUCCAUCCCCAGCUAGGAAGAAAGAAUGGCACUCUUGGGCUUGGCCCAGAAUUAGAGUUAUUAGAGCAAGAGAGAGCUUAGGAAGCAUGAGGGCAACUAUAGUGAGGCCUUACUGCCAGGAGAGGGGGUUUUGGUUGCUGGCACUUGUGUAUAAAGGGGCAAGAGCAGCUCCUUUGGACUAUUCCUGGGAGGACUCUGAUGCAGGGCGUCUGUUGCUCCCCUGGGUCACCUCCUCCCUGCUCGCUGACAUCUGGGGCUUUUGACCCUUUCUUUUUUAAUCUACUUUUGCUAAGAUGCAUUUAAUAAAAAAAAAAAAAAAAAAGAGAGAGAGAGAGGUGUGGGGGGACAAAAGGCAAACCUAUUUCCCUUGCCUCAUAGGCUUCUGGGAUGUCAUCACCUCCAGUUUGUUGGUUUUGUUUCCAACUGUUAAUAAAGCAUUGAAACAGUACUGCC
rnacentral:sRNA from 1 species